rnacentral:rRNA from 1 species
GACGAACCGUGCGAACGUUGUUCGGAAUAACUGGGCUUAAAGGGCGCGUAGGCGGGUUCCCAAGUCUGGAGUGAAAGCCCACGGCUCAACCGUGGAAGCGCUUCGGAUACUGGGGGCCUCGAGGGGGGUAGGGGCGCGCGGAACUUCCGGUGGAGCGGUGAAAUGCGUAGAUAUCGGGAAGAACACCCGUGGCGAAGGCGGUUCUCUGGGACGGUACUGACGCUGAGACGCGAAAGCGUGGGGAGCGAACAGG